UACGUAGGUGGCAAGCGUUGUCCGGAAUUACUGGGCGUAAAGGGUGCGUAGGCGGUAUAUUAAGUCAGAUGUGAAAUACCCGGGCUUAACCUGGGAAUGGCAUUUGAAACUGGUAUGCUGGAGUGCAGGAGAGGAAAGCGGAAUUCCUAGUGUAGCGGUGAAAUGCGUAGAUAUUAGGAAGAACACCAGUGGCGAAGGCGGCUUUCUGGACUGUAACUGACGCUGAGGCACGAAAGCGUGGGGAGCAAACAGG
rnacentral:rRNA from 1 species